AUCUGGGCAGCCCGGUUCCGGAGCAUCAGAGACCCACCUGGUGAUGUCCUGGCCAGCCCGGAGCCACUCUUCACUGCAGAUUACCCCAUAUUCUAUCCCCCAGGGCCUCUGGGAGGAUUUGAUAGCAUGGCUGAGCUCCUGCCAAGCUCAAGAGCUGAACUAGAGGACCCUGGGGGGAAUGGAGCAAUUCCUGCAAUGUAUCUAGACUGCAUUUCAGAUUUGAGGCAAAAAGAAAUCACUGAUAGCAUCCACAGCUCCUCAGACAUUAAUAUUUUAUAUAAUGAUGCAGUAGAAUCCUGCAUUCAGGACCCUUCUGCAGAGGGGCUGUCGGAGGAGGUUCCUGUGGUGUUUGAGGAGCUGCCGGUGGUGUUCGAGGAUGUGGCAGUGUAUUUCACCCGGGAGGAGUGGGGCAUGCUAGACAAGUGGCAGAAGGAGCUGUACAGAGACGUGAUGCGGAUGAACUACGAGCUGUUGGCAUCCUUGGGUAAAGACGCACCGAGCCUCUUAUUGGCCACCCUCAUUUGACUUGGGAAGCCCACAAGGGGAGCUGUGGCUUGUGGUUAUCUUCCCAUUCCUGCCCCCUCCCUGUGUGUAGGCAGAGACCGAUCCUGUCUUUUGCACCUCAGAACUCCCCUGCUUGGGGUAACUGUGCUUUAUCACCUUCUCAUCCACCCAUCUGUUCAUCCAUUCGUCCCCCACCAGACAUUUUGGAGUACCUACUAUGUGCCAGAUGAACACAGCUGAUCCAUGGUCUCUGCUUUCAAGGGCCUAGCACAUUUGUGAGAGAGACAGACAUUUUAAUAAGAAACUAUAAAAUAAUACAGUCUCCCAUAAAAGAGCUUCCAGAAGAGUACCCGGGGCUACUGAAGAAGAGGGAUUUGAUUUCCUGGGCAUUGGCGGGAGGAAUCAGGAAGCCUUUAUAGAGUAGGAAAUGUUUUAAUUGAGUUCAAAACCAGGUGGAUCAGAAGGAGGAAGGGCAUUGAGCCAUGAUGGAGGGGACGGCCUGGCAGAGCCACCCCUAUCUAUGCAGCCC
rnacentral:sRNA from 1 species